GAGGAUGUAGCUCAAUGGUACAGCACUUCCCUAAAAAGGUCCUGGGUUCAAUCCCCAGUAUCAUUA
rnacentral:tRNA from 1 species